rnacentral:lncRNA from 1 species
AUGACACUUGGUUUGUGCUCUAUGGGUCUGCUAUUGUGGCCGCAUCACACUGCUCGCAGCCCUCUAGCAACCCGAGGAGUCUGUAAAAUUCCGGUGUUGUUAAAAAUGAGAGAUAAAAGGUCAGCUCAGUACACACAGCAAGCAAGGAACAAUCAAGAGGAAAAUUUAAUGAUAGGGUUAAUUAGAGACUUCGCAAAAAUGCAGAAUGUGAGUCAAGUGACCGCUUGUUUACCUAUACCUAAAUCCGCAGGUGAUCCUAUACCCUGGGGUAUAAUCAUAUUACCAAUACCCCAGAUUGAGAAAAACAAAACAAUCCAAUGUGAAACGGAAACGGUCAUAGAGACAGAAAUGCUGGAAGGGUUUUAUAGAGAGUGUCAGAUUCGCCUUUAUUCUGGGUGUCAAAAGGAAAGAAAUUACAUAUUUAUGGACCUAGACAACGAGGAUGGACGACUAGGGAUGUGUGAGUAUGAUGCACCACACACACGACAAAAGGAAAAGGUUAUAUGGAAGUGUAAAGAAGGUAACGAGUUAGAAGGAUUAGAGGGUUGGGAGUCAGCAUGGGCAUUAAGUAUACUGCAGAAAUACCAAUAUGGGGGGAAUACUCCUUGGUGUUUGCGAUGGGUAGGAAGGACGAAUAAUGACCAGAGUUUACUAUAUGAGACAGCUCAGAGGGAAACUAGUAGUCAGGAGAGGGUAAAGGCAGUCCCGUGGUGGAAUUGUACACAAAUAUUCAAUUGUGACACUGCUUUAGAAACAAUAUCUCUGCUCCCAGUAAAGAUAGCCUUAGCCACCAGAUGUGCUUGCAGAGGUCUACAAGUUAACACGAGUAUAACCAAUCAGAAUAUAGCCAGCCAGACUGGUAGGGAAAAGACCUUAGUGAAUUGUAAAUCUUCGACUAUACGAAGCAUGGGACAUUUUGUGUGGGCCGCCAGUGAUGGGACUUGGACAACUCAUUUAAGUUUGGAUGGCCCAGUAAAAGAAAUAACUUUAGGAUUGCUCACCCUUUGCCCACUUUGGAGAAAAGCUCCUCUCAUAGAGAGAGGGACAAAAAGAGAAGUAAGUGAAGAAGACGAUGAGUGGCAGGAACCGUCCACUGGGAUAAAAAUAGGAUGGGUGGUAGAAUCAUUGUUUGCCCCGAUAGCCUCCUACCACAACAGAGAGCUGAUUUACAAUUUGAUGGGGUAA